rnacentral:rRNA from 1 species
AUGGCGAAGGGCGGGAAGGGGCUGAACGCGACGGGCGAGUUUUUCCGGCGCCGUGACGAGUGGAGGAGGCACCCUAUGGUGGGGAACCAGCUGCGCCACGCCACUCCGGGGCUAGGCAUCGCCAUCGUCGCCUUUGGGAUCUACCUUGUCGGCGAGGCCGCCUACAACCGCCUCUACCGCCCCGCCGGCGACAACCACCACUAG